AAACGUAAGAAUGCCUUUAAUUUGGGAUAAAUUGCAUUAAUAAAACAUUUUAUCUACAAAAUACAUAUGCAAUUUGACAAUAAUGCCCUUAAAUUAAUCACAUUUGAAGUCUGGCCACCGUCACUUCGAUGCUUCGUCCUCGCCUUCCGUCUUUCAAUGGCGCUGCUUCCUCGCCUUCCGUCUUCCACCGGCGGUGCUUUCGGUCGGCGGUGCUUCCCGGCACUGCUAUCGCAUCGACAACCACCACUUUCUCCCUUCUUCACUUGAGCAUCGUGCUCCAAGUGUAAAGCCCUAAUUGUUCAGUUGAAGCUUCGAUUAGGUAAUAACACAUCUUCUGAUUGGAUUGAUCGUCACUUGAAUUUAUCAGCAAAUGUGUAUAGCCACUAAUUAUCUGUUAUCAUAUAAUGUUUACCUAAUGCUCUGUUAGAGUUAUAAUCGGUAUUUUUAAUAUAUGUUAGAAUAUGAUAUGUACAUCACAUAAGCAGCUGUCUUAACUGCUAUAACAUGAUAUGCAAUCAUGAUUUGUAAUGAUGUAAUAUUGCGAUUUAAUUUACCCCUAUUGAUAUUGUUUAGAUUCGUCUUGUUCCUGUGAAUGUUGAAUGUAACCAUUAUUGCUGCAAAUAUUUGCCAUGUUUUCAACCUCAGAAAAGGAUGAUGACACGGGUUUAUAAAUCUUAUCUUACUCUUUGUAAAAGAUCAUAUGCUUUGACUUGCUGGCAUCCCCCCACACCAAGAGCUUGGGAUGCCUUCUCUUUCACCUACAAUAACAGAGGUAGUGUUAUUUUAAAUUCAAGGGUAUCUCAAUACAGUUCUUUAUAUUGUUAUGUUUACUGAGAUUUUCCCUUGAGUCCUUCAACCAUGGUAACAUAACAAGGUGGCUAAAGAAAAAAAGAAAUCAACUUGCACUUUGUGAAGCACCCUGUGAAUUUGAAACAAUAUCUCCUUCUAGCUUUACUCUUUAAGUUUAACUUUGCUGGCUCAAUAUUUGCUACAGAUAAAACCACUGUACAAACUUAUCAUGUUAUAUUUUGUGAAACCAGAUGCAUUCUUUUUUCUUACAGGUGAUUCUAAACCUACAAAGAUGUUUGACAGAACAAGUAAUCUAUCAAACAAUCAGAUAAUCAACUACAGAUGUGAUCCAUUUGAGAAAUGGUUGGUGUUAAUUGGAAUUUCUCCUGGCUCACCAGAGGUUUCUAUACGACUAUUUGAUAGUAUAGCAUAUUAGCAUAUGGUCAGGAGACUACAUUUUAAGAUGAAGGGUAUGGUGGUAAACCCGAACAGGUAAUUAUUAUCAUUUAUCAAUCAUUUUUUGUAAUUGUAUUAAAUGUUUCAGACGAUAAGCUAUAUGGAAGAGCGCCCAAAGUUCUUUUGGAAUUACUUUAAGUCUUUAAGCAACAACUCUGGAGAAUUACUGUUUUACCCUCUUGUGCAGGCCAAGUGCUUAGUAACUGGAGAAGCUGUUGCAAUAAAAAAGUAAUUAAAGAUAAACAAUACAAGAAUCGUUUAUAUUGUUGGUUAGCACUAACACCUCUUAAUGUUUCAUCUUCUUCUCUUGUGAACUUUUGUGUCUUACUUUAAUUUAGGAUCUUCUGAACACACCCUGUAUUGCUUUUGUUGGUUCAGCUUAUAUAAGUAAGACUGUAAAAUACUGUUUCUUGAAAUUUGUAAUGUGUCUUAUUUUCAAAAUAAUGGAUUUUAGUGAAGGUGGCUUUGUUUGUUGUUCCCGUUGCAAACAUUAUAUUUUUUAAUCGCGGAAGAUGUUUUUCAUCUAUAACUUUUGUGGUAAGUUUAUAUCUCUUGAUUUCUGUACAUAAUGAUAUGCACAAAAGAUAUUUUUUGUUUUUUAAUGUGGUUUUUUGCAAAUGACCCAAAAGAUAUCAAACCACACCCUCUUUCUUACCUCUCUAUCAUUAUCACAAGAGACCAGGCAAACCAGAAAUCUUAACAGAUUUGAUGAAAACCAAAAAAGACAUAAUUGCCCUUGUCCCAUAUUAUCACUCAAAACACUUCAAAAACCUUUUUAUAAUCCCUUUUAUUCUUCUAUUAAUUUCAUUAUUCCAACACUUUAGAGUUAAGAGUUUGGUAUGAUGGCUUUUGGAUUUGGUGCAGUAAAAUAUUUCAAGGGUAUUUCAGUCUUUUUCAGAAUUCUCUUAAGAAUAAAUCCUUUUUCUAUGCUUACAAUUGGAGAUUGCAAUGUUCAUGGUAUUCGCUGAGCAACUAGUCUUAAACAAAGCAAAACGAAAUCAAUUAGAGCCUAAUCGAUGUAUGACAAACAUUAUGUUAUUGAUUUACUUUAAAAUAAACAUGAUAAUUUGGUUUUUGAUGAUCUCGGUAUGAACUUAUGGUGCCCUUUUAUGGUUGAA